rnacentral:rRNA from 1 species
UACGUAGGGUGCGAGCGUUAAUCGGAAUUACUGGGCGUAAAGCGUGCGCAGGCGGUUCGUUGUGUCGGCGGUGAAAGCCCCGGGCUUAACCUGGGAAUGGCCGUUGAAACUGGCGAACUGGAGUGUGGCAGAGGGGGGGUGGAAUUCCGCGUGUAGCAGUGAAAUGCGUAGAGAUGCGGAGGAACACCGAUGGCGAAGGCAGCCCCCUGGGCUAACACUGACGCUCGAUACACGAAAGCGUGGGGAGCGAA